rfam:Otolemur garnettii contig181223, whole genome shotgun sequence.
GUGCUUGUUUUGGCAGCACCUAUACUAAUAUUGGAACGAUAGAAAUUAGUAUAGCCCCUUUGCAAGAAUGACACACAAAUUCAUGAAGUAUUCUGUGUUUAA